CCCCCUGUAGCUCAGAUGGUUAGAGCAGCUGAUUCUUAAUCAGCGGGUCGAAGGUUCGAGUCCUUCCGGGGGGA
rnacentral:tRNA from 2 species